GUGUUUUGUUAGCAGCACAUGCACUAAAAUUGGAACAAUAAAGACAAGACUAGCAUGACCCCUGAACAAGGAAGACAUGCACAUUCAUGAAAUGUCCCGUAUUUUC